CACUGAGCUGGAAGUAAAAGAAAUGCAAGGCACAGGGAGCAGGCUUCAGGAGACGCAGGCCUGGGGACAGAAAGCUGAGUAGCUGCAUGUUGAUUUGUGUGUCUUCAUUGUGCUGCUGCUUCAGCUGCCAUGCAGCCUCCGAGUCCUGAUGCUGUUUCCUGUGAUAGACGCCCAGUGCAUGCACCAGUGAGUCCUGCUGAGGGCUGGGCUGCUGUGUGAGGCUCCUCUGGGGGCUGAUGCUCAGAGCUCAAGUUCUUUGCCUGGAAACAAAGAACUUCCCACAGAUUGCGUCCCUUCACUCUGAAAGCAACUGUUCUUAUCUCAGUCAUCUUGCUGCAUCAGCACUUAUCCUCUGGCUUUGGGGCUGAUAUCAUCGUGCUGGAAGCAGGCUUUGCGGCGACAUGCCUCUCCCUCCCUCCCUCCGGCAUCCAGCUCGCCCUGGCCACAUGUGCAGCCCAGGCCACGACCUCGGCCUUGGCUGGGCUCUGACGCCCAUUUAACAGUCAGAGGCUGGAAAGGGAGUUGCUGCUGUGCUAUUUUUAACCAGCUGGACAGUUAAAUAAUUCAGAGGCAGACACACACAGAGUGGUCUGGGCUGUGUGUGGAUCUGAGAGGGAACAAGAGCAUUGUAUUGACCCUGCUGGGCUUGCUUAACCUCAUCAAGCAUGGGUUCUCAGGCUCUUUAAUACAAACAUGAAACAAAAACUAAACUUUCAGAAGUAAAAUCCCUGCCUUACUGGCGUCAAUGGGACUCCUGGCUCUGACUGCAAUGGAGCCUGGAUCACACUUAGCUGCAAGGCAAGAGCUGUUCAGUAUUUUCUUGCUUUCUAAUGCUGCAUAAUUUUUUUUUUCCAUGACAA